rnacentral:rRNA from 1 species
GAGACGGGCGUAUGCUGUUCGGACUGAACUUGCAUACAGGUGCUGCACGGCUGUCGGCUGCUCGUGCCGAGUUAUGUUGUUUUAAGUCCAUCAACGACCGCAGCCUCGUCCUUAGUUGGUAACAGUUCGGCUGAUAACUCUACGGAGAGUGCCUACGCAAGUAGGAGGAAGGCGAGGAUGACGUCAAGUCACGAUGGCCCUUACGUCCAGGGCUACACACGUGCUACAAUGGGGUAUACAAAGAGCAGCAAUACGGUGACGUGGAGCAAAUCUCAAAAAUGCCUCCCAGUUCGGAUUGUAGUCUGCAACUCGACUACAUGAAGUUGGAAUCGCUAGUAAUCGUAGAUCAGCUAUGCUACGGUGAAUACGA